CACGCCGUAAACGAUGGGUACUAGGUGUAGGAGGUAUCGACCCCUUCUGUGCCGCAGCUAACGCAUUAAGUACCCCGCCUGGGGAGUACGGCCGCAAGGUUGAAACUCAAAGGAAUUGAC
rnacentral:rRNA from 1 species